GUCGAAGUCGGUGAUGAGCCAGCUGAAUAAUAUUGUGCAAUUUGUUGACCGGGGUGAUUAAGUCCACUCGUCGUCGGCUUGUUAAAUAAAGACGAAAACGAAACAAAGAAAACAAGAUAACAAAAACUUUAACGCGACAUCGAAACGCACCUUCAAAGGAAUUAAUAUAGAUACACAUCGCCGAUGUAUUUACUACAUGCAUGGAUAUAAACAACAAAUAUGUGUGUACGUGAUGACAAUGUCGUACCAUUUGUACCCACAUACAAAUAUAUAUACAUUCACUUACACAUUUGUACAUAACACAAUAUACCUAAUACAUCCGGAUUAUGAAUACGAAUUGCCGUGAGCGUGAGAAGUACACAAAACGAAGUUGAGAAAUGGCGCAAAGCGAAGCAAAGGUUUUUGUUUUCAUCAACCACAUACAAGUUAUCAAUUUUCUUUUUAUGGUACUCUCAUUCGUUGGGAAGUACUUUCUGGUAUAUUCAUAUGUGCAUACAUAUGUACAUACAUAUAACACCAAAUACCUGCUGUCGAGAUCUAAAAAGUUUUUGUGAUGACAUUUAACCUGAGUUCAGUGAUACCAACAUUGACAUCCACAAUGUUUCUUAAUAUUAAUAGAUAGUGGCAUGCUCAGAAGUAUUUCCGUAUUAUCCUAUACCUCGCUACAUAUUUUAUCAUUAUUAACAUGUUUUUUAUUUUUUUCAAGUAAACGAUACGCAUUUACAAUUGCAACAACACUAUUCAAUGCAAUUUUUGUUU